UUACCUGGUCUUGACAUCCCGGAGACCCUUAGGAAACUAGGGGUGCUUCCAUCUGGAAGAAUCUGGAGGACAGGUGCUGCAUGGCUGUCGUCAGCUCGUGUCGUGAGAUGUUGGGUUAAGUCCCGCAACGAGCGCAACCCUUGCCUUUAGUUGCCAGCAGUUCGGCUGGGCACUCUAAAGGGACUGCCGGUGUUAAACCGGAGGAAGGUGGGGAUGACGUCAAGUCCUCAUGGCCUUUAUGACCAGGGCUACACACGUACUACAAUGGCCGAUACAAAGGGCAGCGACACUGCGAGGUGAAGCCAAUCCCGUAAAAUCGGUCUCAGUCCGGAUUGGAGUCUGCAACUCGACUCCAUGAAGUUGGAAUCGCUAGUAAUCGUGGAUCAGCAUGCCACGGUGAAUACGUUCCCGGGCCUU
rnacentral:rRNA from 1 species